ensembl:lincRNA
CAGGAAGUCAAGACUCGUCCGUGAGCGUGUGUGCGCGCGCCCGUGAUUCUCGCCUGCUGUCCUCCUGACUCCUGGACUGCUGUAACGGUGCAAAAUGAAGUGGGAGAAUGCAGUAGUUGAGGCAUAAUCUCGUGUUAUAAUCCCGUGUGAAUUACAACUUCAUUGUUAACAAAUGGAUUUCAACCGUCAUUGCCGUGUCUCAGAUGCCAGAUGAUGUUCGACAAGAAGGACAGAGCUUCAGGAGCAUCCGCCGAGCCUCAGAGGACACUUCCAGGCUUAGUCACCUGUCCCUGAAGAUUGUCGGGAUCAUCAAAAACCCAAAACAUAAGCAGCAUUCAAACAUCUCAGUGCAAAAAAAAAUGUACUUCAACAUGCUUCACAAUAGCAAAAGUCUAAGUUCUCCAAACUCAAGAGAGCAAACACCGAAAGUGCACAGAAAAAUUGUAGUGGAGCAUAAGGGGUCACAAGAGAGGAGGACAAAUAAAAUAGUAUAUCCAGAAAGAAGACUACAAGUUGAUGAGACAGAAGUGGAAAUAAUUCUGGAACAGGGAGAUGAGUUAGGAUGCGGGGAUGAGCUAGCACAUGGAGUUGAUUUAGAUUUAGCGGAGGGUUUAGAAAAAGACAAGCCAUUGGAGUCGGAGGAUGAUGAAGUGUCAGUUGACCUUCAUUCUGAUUUAUAUAGUAAGAAAGAAGUAGAUUAUAACAUAGUAGCAGAGGAGCUACAAGUAAAGGACAUGGGGAAGGCAGCAUGGGGGCUGACUAAAAAUGGUAAAAAUAAAAGUUCUCGUAACGUUCAGCUGGCUUCUAAUGCAGUUUAUGAAAGCUUAGCACACGCAGAUCGAUUACUUUUUGACAAAAUGUGCACUGGUAAAACUUUAAUUGAAUCAUUUUACCCUAGUGGUAUAGUAGCAGACAGGAUGUUUUCAAGUGAAGAGGACAUUGAUGUGAUGUUCCCAGAUAUUUGUGAUGCAGGGGAGGCAUUAGCAGACAAAGAUGGACUUUCCGAGUGUGACCUCUUUGAACAAACGGAGCCUCUUCAAUUAACAGAGACAAAGGACAACAUUAAUGGAGAUAUUAUGAUGCUUACCAUUGAGGAGGGAUUGAACAGCUCUGAUUUAUCCUCAGUCGAGGAAGAGUAUGAUGAAAUGCAGAUGGAAAAAGAGCUGAUGGAGGAACAAAUAAACAAAUCUGUUGCAGGCAAUAAAGCUGCUAUUCCCUCAAACAGCGAAGAGUCUGAUCAUCCCUCAAAUUCAUCUUCAUCUUCUCAGACUUGUGUUCUUUCAGGGUCCGAUACAACCUUGGAUGAAAUAACAAAUAACAACUACAAUAGCAAAAAUAUGACUGAAAGCGAUGAAGCAAUUUCUGCCAUCUUAAAUCUUGUUCUUGUUCAGCAGCAACCUGAAACCCAAGACCAAAAUUCUCAACAAUAUCAAGACGAAGAAAGCAAUGGGGAAGACAAAGAAGAACAAGUGGUUGACAACCUGAGUGAAUCUGAAGGAAAAGAACUCAUGGUAGACAAUGUGUAUGAGGAGACAGAGCCAAAAAUCCAAGCCAAGGACUUCCUCCAGAACAGGAAGUACUUUAUGAGUCGUUCUAUAUCUGUGGAAACCCCCGGUAAGAGAGCUGACCUACUGAGCGGCCUUCCAGCAGGAAAUGGGCGGCUUUUGCUACACCCACAGGCCUUCUAUACAGACCAGUGUUUGUUUGGAGAUAGCAGACCUGCACUGACAGGUUCGUUAGGAUGUCUUUCACAAGGCACACGCACAUCAAAAGUCACUCGAGUGGAUAUACCGCCCCCUUUUGAACUGGCAUCCAUCACGAAGCGACCAAUCAGAAAGAGCUCACCGUCUAUUCCCAAUGAAAUCUCUGCUUCAUGUAAAAAGCCUGAUUUUGGGUUCAAGCGAUACCUUCUUCCAUUGCGGUUCCUUAGGAAAUCUGAUCGAAAGAGUAUGAUGGAUACUCGCUCCAUCUCUUCCAGAUCCUCAUCCGAAUCAAGUCCGCAAGGAUCAUGUAGACGCAUGGAUUUUAUCCGACAUAACAUGGGCAGCCCAGAGUUGCAGAGGAGUCCAGAUUGCACUCCGCCGGUGUCCCCUUCUUCCUUUCUCUCUCAUAGGAAUAGACGAAAAGAGGGACUAAAUUUCUCCCUAAAUAACGAUUUGGCUUGUAGCUCCAUAUCGAUUGAGCCAGGCUUCCUCUCUGAGCCCCUUCCCCUUUCCAAACCUCGAUCAUUUUCAUCUCCGAAUACAGAUUCCUCUGAAUACGAGAAUGUUCAAAAUGUUGCUUCUCACUAUGAGAAUGUGCAGAUUCGCCUCCUGAAUCCUGUCAUUCAGGGUCAGCGAAAUCAGAGUUCACCCAGUGACACUGAUGGUUACGUGGACAUGAGCAGUCUGCCAGGCUUCCAAGGCAAAAGUCAGUCAUCUGAGCAAGAGACAGAUAGUCUCUACACUUUCUGUUCUCCAAAUGUGAGGGCAGAUGGAACGGUGGGUGUGUUUGUAGGCGUGGCUUGUGCACAAGAGAAAAAGACAACGGCUCCUGACAAACUGGUGAGCUUAUUGUGGUUGCUUCUCCAAAGAUAUCUACAUACAUGA